UACGUAGGCAGCGAGCGUUGUUCGGAAUUACUGGGCGUAAAGAGUGUGUAGGCGGUGCUCUAAGUUCGGUGUGAAAUCUCCCGGCUUAACUGGGAGGGUGCGCCGGAAACUGGAGUGCUCGAGCGUGGGAGAGGAAAGCGGAAUUCCUGGUGUAGCGGUGAAAUGCGUAGAUAUCAGGAGGAACACCUGCGGUGUAGACGGCUUUCUGGACCAUUGCUGACGCUGAGACACGAAAGCGUGGGUAGCAAACCGG
rnacentral:rRNA from 1 species